GAGGGUAUAGCUCAAGUGGUAGAGCACAUGCUUAGCAUGCAUGAGGUCCUGGGUUCAAUCCCCAGUACUCUCU
rnacentral:tRNA from 1 species